rnacentral:tRNA from 1 species
GCAUCCGUAGCUCAAUUGGAUAGAGUACUUGACUUCGGAUCAAGGGGUUGGGGGUUCGAGUCCUCCCGGGUGCACCA